rnacentral:rRNA from 1 species
UACCAGCUCUCCGAGUGGUAGGGAUGAUUAUUGGGCUUAAAGCGUCCGUAGCCGGCUUAGCAAGUCUCCUGUUAAAUUCAGCGACCUAAUCGUUGAGCCGCGGGAGAUACUACUAGGCUAGGAGGCGGGAGAGGUCGACGGUACUUCCGGGGUAGGGGUGAAAUCCUAUAAUCCCGGGAGGACCACCAGUGGCGAAGGCUGUCGACUAGAACGCGCUCGACGGUGAGGGACGAAAGCUGGGGGAGCGAACCGGAUUAAAUACCCGGGUAGUCCCAGCUGUAAACGAUGCGGGCUAGGUGUUGGGGUGGCUACGGGCCACUUCAGUGCCGCAGGGAAACCAUUAAGCCCGCCGCCUGGGGAGUACGGCCGCAAGGCUGAAACUUAAGGAAUUGGCGGGGGAGCACCACAAGGCGUGAAGCUUGCGGUUC